rnacentral:rRNA from 1 species
GAUGAUGACCGUAGUACACCUGAAUUAGAUACUCAGCUCGUGGACUAAUCGGUCAGACAGACCGGUUAACGAGAGGCCAGGUAUCCCGGAUAUGGCGUUAAGCCUUCCGCAAGGGUGCCGUCCAGUCCGCGGUAAAGACGAGCUCAACUCCGAGAGCCGUAGAAACUGAAAGCUAGAGACCGUUAGGUAGCGGAAAUUCCAGUGUACGGUUAAAUGGCGUAGAGGAUUGGGAAGAACAUCGGUGGCGAAGCGCGCUACUGGGCCGGAACUGACAAUUCAGGGACGAAAGCUAGGGGAGGCGAAAGGGAUUAGAAACCCCUGUAGUCCUAGCGUAAAACGAUGGAUACUAGGCGUGGCUCGUAUCGACCCGAGCCGUGCCGAAGCUAACGCGUUAAGUAUCCCGCCUGGGGAGUACGCACGCAAGUGUGAAAACUCAAAGGAAAUUGACGGGGGCCCGCACAAGCGGUGGAGUAUGUGGUUUAAUUUCGAUGCAAACGCGAAGAACCUUACCAGGGCUUGACAUGUCGCGAAUCUUGGGGAAACCCGAGAGUGCCUUAGGGAGCGCGAACACAGGUGGUGCAUGGCUGUCGUCAGCUCGUGUCGUGUGAUGUUGGGUUAAGUCCCGCAACGAGCGCAACCCUCGUCCUUAGUUGCCAGCACGUAAAGGUGGGAACUCUAGGGAGACUGCCGGUGACAAACCGGAGGAAGGUGGGGAUGACGUCAAGUCAGCAUGCCCCUUACGUCCUGGGCGACACACGUACUACAAUGGUCGGGACAAAGAGCAGCGACCUCGCGAGAGUCAGCGAAUCUCAGCAAACCCGGCCUCAGUUUAGAUCGCAGGCUGCAACUCGCCUGCGUGAAGGAGGAAUCGCUAGUAAUCGCCGGUCAGCAUACGGCGGUGAAUUCGUUCCCGGGCCUUGUACACACCGCCCGUCACACCAUGGAAGCUGGCCACGCCCGAAGUCGUUACUCUAACCUUAAUUGGAGGAGGGCGCCGAAGGCAGGGCUAGUGACUGGGGUGAAGUCGUAACAAGGUAGCCGUACCGGGAGGUGUGGCUGGAUCACCUCCUUUUAGGGAGACCCAAUUCAGUGAACAGUGAACAAAAAACUGCUUACUGAAUUCAUCCCAAGGUCGUGCAAGGGAGAUAAAAAAAGCGGAAGCUUUCAAACUAUGAAGUCGGUUCGGAUGAAUCAGGGAACGGUCGUCAGUCAAGCAACUGAUAACUGAUAACUGAUAACUGAUAACUGAUAACUGACAAGGGCUAUUAGCUCAGGUGGUUAG